rnacentral:rRNA from 1 species
AAUGAACGCUGGCGGCAUGCCUAACACAUGCAAGUCGAGCGAACGAAGGGGGCGUGUGCCCCGAUGCAGCGGGGGGCGGGUGGGUGAGGCCCACGAGGCUGACCUACCUAGGGGAAUGGGGUCCGUAAACGGGAGCUAAUAUCAUACAGGACAAGAUAUUGAACGGGAGGGUUCUUUGGUGAUAACGGGAUUUGAUGAGACUACGUCGUAUUAGCGAGUUGGUGUGGUAAAGGCGUACCAAGGCGACGAUCCGUAGCUGGUCUGAGAGGAUGAUCUGACACACUGGAACUGAGACACGGUCCAGACUCCUACGGGAGGCAGCAGUAGGGAAUCUUGCGCAAUGGGCGAAAGCCUGAUCCAGCCAUGCCGCGUGAGUGAUGAAGGUCUUCGGAUCGUAAAGCACUGUUAGUAGGGAGGAAGAAAAGUAUGUUUAACCCUGCACGUCUUGACGUUACCUACAGAAUAAGCCCCGGCUAACUUCGUG